UACGUAGGGACCGAGCGUUGUCCGGAAUCAUUGGGCGUAAAGAGCGUGUAGGCGGCCACUUAAGUCCUGCGUGAAAUCUUGCGGCUCAACCGCAAGCGGUCGUGGGAAACUGGGUGGCUAGAGUGCGGGAGAGGAGAGUGGAAUUCCUGGUGUAGCGGUGGAAUGCGCAGAUAUCAGGAAGAACACCAACGGCGAAGGCAGCUCGCUGGGACGGAACUGACGCUGAGGAGCGAAAGCAUGGGGAGCGAACAGG
rnacentral:rRNA from 1 species